CUAUAUUUUUAAUUAUUGAAGAAACCAAGAAAUGAUAUUGCUUUGUUUUCUAAUUGAUUCGACUAGCAUUUCUCCCAAAAAGAAAAAAAAAUAAAAAUUCAAUUGCAAGUUGUCUUGAAUCAAAUUUCCUCUUCAUCUUUAUACGCUAGCUAUCAGUGAUAGAAAAUCAUUUGUUGUUGUUCACAUCACACGAGCAUCGUGGUGCUGCUGACGAGAAAGGAGCUUCAGGUCAUCUCUCCAAUGGAUAAUGCUACUAGUACAAAGUCGCUUGACAAAGGAGGCUUACAAAGUGACAUGUACGGCUCAUAUUAAAAGACAUUGGACGGCUGAGAUGUUGGCAGAAAUCUUUACCCAUUUACAGACCCAUUCAGAAAUUCAAACGCCAUUUACUACCCAUUUAGAAAUUGAAACCAGAAUAGAAGAGAGGCGAAAAUUCUCAAAUUAGGGCGGCAAAAGCGAAGCGGGAUUCCGAUUGAUUUUCACGUUGCUUGUUUCAUCGACGAAUUCGGCAUUGAACGUGAUUGCUCAUCCCGUCCAUCUUCUCCACCUCUGAAACCAGAAUAUGUAGCAACUCGAGUAUCCGGAAGCAACUCAUAAUAGUUGUGAUAUGAUGUGCUUCACCACUCACCAAAAGAGUAGAUACCACUAAAAGUAGGCACAAACUAUUCAUGGAAAUGAAGUCAUGAACAAAAACUUGAGAUCUUGGUUCUAUUUUCACCCAAUUGUUGGGUGAAAUUUGAGUGGGCAAGCAGUGGAAAAAGUAGUAGCGUGAAUGCCUUUUGUGAAGCUAUGAAAUUAGGUUGUGAGGCAAAGGAUUAUCAGUUCUUAUGGAGGUUCCAUAAGAGUAGAAAUAGCCAGAGUAGACUAUAGAAGUUCUCUAAAUAUAUAUACACGUGUAAAUAAACUUGUGGAGGCAGCCUACUGUCUAUCUCUGAAAAAACUAUAUGAUCUACAUGGUUUUCUUA